CAGCAGCCACGGUAAUACGUAGGUGGCAAGCGUUGUCCGGAAUUAUUGGGCGUAAAGCGCGCGCAGGCGGAUCAGUCAGUCUGUCUUAAAAGUUCGGGGCUUAACCCCGUGAGGGGAUGGAAACUGCUGAUCUAGAGUAUCGGAGAGGAAAGUGGAAUUCCUAGUGUAGCGGUGAAAUGCGUAGAUAUUAGGAAGAACACCAGUGGCGAAGGCGACUUUCUGGACGAAAACUGACGCUGAGGCGCGAAAGCCAGGGGAGCGAACGGGAUUAGAUACCCCAGUAGUCCCUGUCUCUUAUACA
rnacentral:rRNA from 1 species